AUCUCAGUAUGCCCUCGCCUGUCCUGGAACAAGUUUUACUCUCACAAUUGCAGCUGUGACAAGGGAUGCAACGACUUGGAAAUGUGAUCACGCUUUUGGUGGAAUGGAAAGUAAUGCUAUUGAUCUUCUUCUUCAAGAACCACAACCACCUGUUAAGGAUCGAUUCUCAGAUGGAAUUGGAACUGGGGUUGGAAUUUGCGUUCCUGUAUUUAUUGUGUUUGUGGUAGUGUUAGCAGUUCUACGAAAACAACAGUGGUUCAAAGGUGAUGCAGGCACAGGGGAAAUCAACACACUGCUGAUGUAUGUAUGAGUAUGCUUGCCAGAAAGAGUUGAUUCAAAGUCAAAACCAAAUAUGUGACAUUCUUUUAGUAUUAGUUUAUAUUUUGUAAUCCAAUAAUACAUAGUAUUUAUUUUACAUUUUCUGUAAAAUCGACUUUCAGUAAACGGUAUUGUUUCCUGAUCAAUACAACAGCUUGACUUCUAAUCAGGCAUUUGAAAUUUGCACCAUAAUUAACCAAUUAAUUGGUAAUAUAUCCAAGUUUUUUACGCAUUCCAAAGAUGGCCAUAUGAACAUAGGAUAUGAUUACAAUCAUAUUCACUUUAUAUGCUUUAGGCAUAUCUACGAAACAUUCCUUGCACUGAUGCGUUUUAAAGUUGUAUGAACGUACAUUAGGAGAGAGUAAUGUUCGGUUAAGCGAUGACAUAUUCUUUGGAAUAUAAUUAUUUGUACUCAGCAGAAUGUGCAUUUGAAAAAUAUAUAUAUAACUCUUUCUUCUACCACCUGUGCCAUUCUUUACUUGAAGGAACAAUCAAGCAAUCGAGUUGCCAUUACAAGAGCAAGCAAUUGGUCUAUACGAUGACCUCGGGCACAGAGAGACGGACAUGGCGACAUACACAGAACUGAAAGUGUAUGAAAAUGUCGGGGCCCUGCCUUCAGAAGAUACGGUGAAUGAAGACGGAAAGGCGCACCCGACACCUCAACAUGCGACACCUCGGACAUACAAGGGCUUAUUAAAUACGAAAUAACUUGUAUAUUAGUAAGUAAUUACAUGUAUAUUAUAUGACAUGUGAGAUUCAGCUUUAACCUUUCAGUGAGAGUCAGUGAGAUCAUGCAUAUGUAUGUUACAUAUAAUUCGUUUAUAGUUUAACAAAAUAACAGACACUUUAACAUGUAACAAGAUAAGUUUGUUAUUAAAGUACAGACGCUCCCUCCUUCUUCCAGAUCCGUGGACGUCGGACUACCCAGACCCAAUUUAUGACAAUGUGUUUAGUAGUUACAAGUUAUAUGGUAGUAUGAGUGUUCUUUCUCGAUGUAUAUUCAAUCUUAGUUGUUAUGAUGCGAUUCGAAUGAAUAAUUACAGAUAUAUAUUAUGACAAAUUGGUAUGCAUUGCUGUUCCUGAGACAAUUUUGAAGCCGAUUAUGCGCACACAAGCACGUUGAUCAAUCACUUAUCAUGAGCACAGCAUUUAUCACGAAACGAGUAUUGUCAUUUCAUUGGUUUUCCCCAUCUAGCUACAAAAUCACUUUUUGCGAUCGUGCAUGUACCAAGGUGUGUUUAGUGUAAAAUAGUACAAUGAAUACAACUCUCAUAUCUGAUCGCACAAUGAUUGAGGAUUUGUCUUUGAAUAAGUAACCAUUUAAUUCCGCAUCCUUUCACCUCCCCAAAACUAGCAUUUAAAACACAAUGUUGUGCCUCCUUUCCAAAUUCAGAAUUAUAUCUACAGGUAAACCAGUACUACGGUAUUAUCUUUCUAACUAUGUAUAUAAAUAGUUUAUGUUCCAUUGUUUAUAUUGUUUUUACACUUAAAAUAGCACAUUGCUUCUGGUUAAUAGAAGAUCUUAUGUGAGCACCUCUCGUACAUCAGAUUAAAUUGCAUUGAAUGUCACACUCAUGUUGUCAAUUUAUGCACACUCACAUUGGUGAAUGUGUACACAAAGUUGAUAUCCCGAUUUGAAGGUUUAGGAUCAUACCAUUGUUUUCAUAGUUCUGUCUCUAGUGGUGUUUGACUGGUGUUUUACCCAUCACUACUAAUUACCUUCUCAAGUUCUAUGAAUUACAUUUGUUGCCAUAUUUAUGAACCAUCCAUUGAAUUAAUACUGAA